AAGUCGUAACAAGGUUUCCGUAGGUGAACCUGCGGAAGGAUCAUUAUUGAAUAGUAUUGGGCGCUGUGCUGGCCUCUCGGGGCAUGUGCACGCGUUCAACAUCUACUUCUAUCUAUCUCUUGUGAACCUAGUGUGGAUCUUGAACCCUGUCGGCAAAGGCCUUUGGAGCAGCAAUGCUUCGUUGGCUGGAGCCUUCGGGGAUCUUGAACCAUUUUUAUAAACCUUUAUUUGAAUCUAUUAGAAUGUCUUCUUUACUUGACGCAAGUCAGUAAAAAACCUAUACAACUUUCAGCAACGGAUCUCUUGGCUCUC
rnacentral:misc_RNA from 1 species